rnacentral:rRNA from 1 species
UUUGGCGGUAAUUUAAUCUUUUCAGAGGAACUUGUUUUUUAAUCGAUAAACCACGAAGUAUCUUACUUACUUUAGUAAAGUUUGUAUACCAUCAUUAUCAGGUAAUUUUUAAAGAGUAAAUUACUAAAUACAAUAAUUCAGGUAAAUUAGAUCAUGGUGCAGCUUAUAGGUAAGUUAAAAUGGGUUACAAUAAAUUAUUAUUAUACGGAUAAAUUAAUUAAUAUUUAUUUAGAAGGAGGAUUUGAUUGUAUUUUAAGUUUAACAUGCUUAAUAGAUGAUAGCUCUAAAUUAUGU